rnacentral:rRNA from 1 species
UACGGAGGGUGCGAGCGUUGUCCGGAAUCAUUGGGCGUAAAGGGCGCGUAGGUGGCCCGGUCAGUCUUUGGUGAAAGUCCAGGGCUCAACCCUGGGAUGCCGGUGGAUACUGUCGAGCUCGAGUCCGGAAGAGGCGAGUGGAAUUCCUGGUGUAGCGGUGAAAUGCGCAGAUAUCAGGAGGAACACCAAUGGCGAAGGCAGCUCGCUGGGACGUGACUGACGCUGAGACGCGAAAGCGUGGGGAGCAAACAGG